UAUCUGUGGUGGGGACAUCAAUUGAGCAAAUCAUUGAACCUUUUCUAGACUUGGUAAAGAGUUUCAUGUUUUUUCGGGUGAAGGUAGAGAUUUAUCUUUAAAGACA